GGGUACAAUGAUUAUAGUAUUCAUGAAAACAACUCUUUUAAUAGAAAUAGCUAAGGUUGUAGGCAAUUCCUAAUGUUAUGUUCAGGCUGCCGACAUUUGCUACAAGUUCUCCUCUUCGUGUAAUUCUCAUUAAUUAUCUCGCAUACUGGUUUGUAUCUUAAACUGGACUUGCUCAGUCUCCCGCUCGCUCUGCUUCCUUUAGUUUUUGCUUUAUUUGGUACUGCAACAUUAACUGGAUCGUUCAACGGUUGGGUAAAUCUCGUGAUCGAAAGAAUAUUGUUAUUCUCCGGUGCUGGAAAAGAUGUCGGAAUUAGGGCAGCCAAUAAUUUCUUUAUAGACUCUACAGACUUGUCCAAAUUAUCAUUUGCCAAAUUUUCGAAUUGAAGAAGAUGAUUAACCAAAGCUUGUAGUUCCCCACAACCAAAAUGUCUAUCACUAAUGUUCCUCGCGAUAUUAUUUUUGGGAUUCUAGAAUCAUCUUUUCGUUACGAGCAAGGGAGGGAUCAAUUUCAAUUGAACCGUUGAUGAAAUAUAGAAAACAUAUAAUGUGCCGACAUGGGGAUCCUUUUCGAAUUGAACAUCUGGCAACUAUACUUCGGUAGUCGUUCCUCUUGAUAAUAAUAAAUGGUAGAGGAUACCUUCUGAUUGUAGACAUUAACGACAGGGAAGAUAUUUGAAUGCUUCAAAAAAAAUGAAGAAAACAAUUAGGACGAAAUAUAAAAAGAAGAACGUAGGAAAAAGUUGAACAAGUAUAACUGAUCAUACUAUCGUCACAUGGUCUUAUGAAAAAUCCCAAGCUGAGUUUGACUAGUUUUUGAUAUAAUCGAAAAGCUUCGGAUGUGUAUUUAUACAUAAAAGAUGUUUCAAUUGGAAGAUUUGUGAUGAGAUGCAGUGGAUCGAAAGUGUCUUCAUGAUCUCUUUGAAGUUCUUUAUCCCUCAUAGACAUCAAUACA
rnacentral:lncRNA from 1 species